CUCCUCAUGAAGUAAUCAGCUAAAGAAAUAAGACUGGGCAGAUGAAAACCUGGGAAGGUAAUAGAAGCUGGGGGAAUGGAAGUCGGUGCCUGAAACAAUUAAGAGUUCAGAGAAAUGUUGUUCCAGGGAGUGUCUGACUAGUUCUGCAGCUUGGCAAAAAAGCCAGACGUUACCUCAUAGCUGCGGCCAGACAGCCCAUUUCUAUGCCAGGCAACCACUGCAGAAGCACACAGCACAGGGCCCUGCUUGAUUAGCACUUCUGCUGUUUCAAGAGUCCUGGAGUGUUUUGUUCAAGAUUCAUAGAGCAGAGUCACACAGGAGAUGUCGCAGCAUUAACCUGGGCUGCCAAGGAGCUCUUCGUUCCACACCUUGUACACAGAGCGUUCAGUGCCACGGCUGCUCCAGGCCCCGUUAAGAGUUCAUAUUCCUGUGAUUGUCGUUAAUGCUCGUAGAGCAGCUCUGUGGCCUCUGGCCCGCGUGCCGUGGGAGGCUGCAAGCUCGCCGAAGCCGGAGCAACCUCAGCACCGGUCUCUGCUGUACGGUAGCUAGUGCUUUAGCCUGAGCAUCCCGACCAACAGCGCCAGGGCAAAUCCCUGCUCAGGUUAUUGCGUCCUUGGUCUUUGUUUACUUCUGCGUAUGAGGGCACUCUGUGCAAAGGCAAUCUAAAGCUCACCAGACUGAGACAUGGUUUGCUCAAGGACCCGAAUGCAGCAGUUCUCCUCCCACCUGGCCCACCUCUCCCUCGUGGCUCGGCUCCCCAUGGUUCCCUCCCUGGGGAAAGCAGCUGCUUUUGUGCGGACGUGGGGCUUGUCCUGACCCUGGGUAAGGAGAGAGCCGAGAGCACAACUGAGAGCUCAACUGAGAGCUCUCAAAGGCUUCUGGGUUCACCUGUGCAGGUACAAAGUACACAGCAGGAGAACAUCUGCCUACAGGGAGUACUGGGGAAGACUUGUAAUGCUUGAAUCAUUUUUGUCUGCUCCUCUGGUGCAAAAUGGACAGGUCCCAACCCAGCACAUAGCAAAGUCAGAUGCUGGAUUCUCUUCUGGCUGGUUACAUUACCACUGCCUACAGCUCCUUCCCAUCCUGGAGGAAUCCUUUGCUCUGCGGACGGUAGGGCAGCAGCACAGCGCCCAGGCAAACCGUGUGCUAUGAAGGACCUCUGUGUGCAGCUGUGCGCCUUGGCAGUGCCCCACAUUUGGAGGCUUCGGACCCAGUGUGUUUGUCUGUCCCUAGUCUCAUGAGAGGGACAGGAGCGGAGCUCAGAUCCAAAUACAGAUGCUAGUCUCCUGUGUAAAGAAAAAACUGGGGUUUGGGGAAAUUUCUCUUUUUGCAUCUCUAGUCCCGGCCUUGAACUGUCCCUCCCCAUCCCACAGAGUUACCAUCUCCCCUAGCAUGGAUGUAUUUGUUUUUCACUGGUCCUUCGAUAAUUGCAUUUCUUC